rnacentral:rRNA from 1 species
UACGAAGGGGGCUAGCGUUGUUCGGAAUUACUGGGCGUAAAGCGCGCGCAGGCGGUUCUUCAAGUCAGAGGUGAAAGCCCAGAGCUCAACUCUGGAACGGCCUUUGAGACUAGAGAACUUGGGUACGGGAGAGGUGAGUGGAAUUCCGAGUGUAGAGGUGAAAUUCGUAGAUAUUCGGAAGAACACCAGUGGCGAAGGCGGCUCACUGGCCCGUUACCGACGCUCAGGCGCGACAGCGUGGGGAGCAAACAGG